rnacentral:rRNA from 1 species
GACGAACCGUGCGAACGUUGUUCGGAAUCACUGGGCUUAAAGGGCGCGUAGGCGGGUCUUCAAGUCAAGGGUGAAAUCCUGCGGCUCAACCGUAGAAGAGCCCCUGAUACUGAAGGUCUCGAGGGAGGUAGGGGCGUGUGGAACUUCCGGUGGAGCGGUGAAAUGCGUAGAGAUCGGAAGGAACGCCGGUGGCGAAAGCGACACGCUGGACCUCUACUGACGCUGAGGCGCGAAAGCCAGGGGAGCAAACAGG